rnacentral:rRNA from 1 species
UGGGGAAUAUUGGACAAUGGGCGCAAGCCUGAUCCAGCCAUGCCGCGUGAGUGAUGAAGGCCUUAGGGUUGUAAAGCUCUUUUAACGGGGAAGAUAAUGACGGUACCCGUAGAAUAAGUCCCGGCUAACUCCGUGCCAGCAGCCGCGGUAAUACGGAGGGGACUAGCGUUGUUCGGAAUUACUGGGCGUAAAGCGCACGUAGGCGGAUUUGUAAGUCAGGCGUGAAAUCCCGAGGCUCAACCUCGGAACUGCCUUUGAUACUGCAAAUUCUCGAGUCCGGAAGAGGUGAGUGGAAUUCCUAGUGUAGAGGUGAAAUUCGUAGAUAUUAGGAAGAACACCAGUGGCGAAGGCGGCUCACUGGUCCGGUACUGACGCUGAGGUGCGAAAGCGUGGGGAGCAAACAGGAUUAGAUACCC